rnacentral:rRNA from 1 species
CUACGGGGGGCUGCAGUGAGGAAUUUUGCGCAAUGGGGGAAACCCUGACGCAGCAACGCCGCGUGAGCGAAGAAGGCCCUCGGGUCGUAAAGCUCUGUCAAGUGGGAAAAAAGCCUUUUGAUCAAUACCCAAAAGGUUUGAUGGUACCACUGGAGGAAGCACCGGCUAACUCCGUGCCAGCAGCCGCGGUAAUACGGAGGGUGCAAGCGUUGUUCGGAAUUACUGGGCGUAAAGGGCGUGCAGGCGGUUUGGCAAGUCAGAUGUGAAAGCCCUGGGCUUAACCCGGGAAGUGCAUUUGGAACUGCGUGUCUUGAGUAUGGGAGAGGAGAGUGGAAUUCCCAGUGUAGAGGUGAAAUUCGUAGAUAUUGGGAGGAACACCCGUGGCGAAGGCGACUCUCUGGACCAAUACUGACGCUGAGACGCGAAAGCGUGGGGAGCAAACAGGAUUAGAUACCCGAGUAGUC